rnacentral:tRNA from 6 species
GUUAAGGUGGCAGAGCCCGGCCAUUGCAGAAGACCUAAGCCCUUCCAAUAGAGGUUCAAAUCCUCUCUUUAACU